AUGAAGCUUCCUUCGAGAUACUCUCCCCUCAAGAAUAAAGAGAUUGAACUAAAAGGACCGAGGCAACAUGAACAUGUCAAAGAAGAGCACUUAACUGACUUGCGAAGCAAACGUAGCAGCUACAAACGUGGGCGAGGAGGCCGUGAUCAAGGAUAUGCUACAAAGUGGCAAAGAAGAGUGCCUGGUCUUAAAUCUUAUUCAAAUAGGCGUAAUGUUAGGGAAACUGGUAAAUUUAAUCUAGGAUCUAAACAGGGGCGAAGGACAAAUGCUAAAUCUUCUGGUCGUGGUCUUCGAACAGUUAGGAGGAGGAGGGUAGAAAUGAUGGUAGCUGAGGAGCCAUUGAUUGGUCGUAUGACAAGCACUGUUGGCCCAAGGAGCUAUGGUGGAUCAUUAAGGAACUUGGGUGAGGAAAAUUGGGGCGCUGAAAAAGUCAGGACGGAUGCGGAUUUGGGUAUGGAUGUGGAUGUGGAUGUGGAUGUGGAUGUAGAUUUAGAUGAUGCUGAUAAUAACAGUGUGGAAGCAGGAGAAUCUGAUGAUAAUGUUGAAGCAGAGGGAUAUGAGCAAAGAAAUUGGGAGCAAAGUUUUAAUGGAGCCUCCAAUAGGUGGAAUAGAACUGUAAUGGAAGUGAGUGAUGAUGAUGGAGAUGCUUCCGGAGAUGAUAAUGGCAUUGAAGAAAUGGGAGCUGAAGAGUCAGAGGGAGACAUAGAGAUAAGUGAGGGUUCAGAUGGAGUAGGAAAUAAGAUAGAGAAUGAGGAAGGCACAGACUCAGCAGUUUCAGAUUUCUCUAGUGACUGAUCAUUAUCCCAUUGAUAAAGUCUCAGCAGCGGCUUUGCUCGUGAGCUGCAUUAUUUUUGGUCUUUGCAGCGUGACCAGCGGUGGAAUUUAUGCAUAAGACAACGGAGAAACAAGGUUGCCCCUUCCAAUUUAUUGCAAUAUCAGGCAGAAUGUAGAAGUAAAAUAGUAUAUCCUUGUUGUAAUUCAUUAUUGUUAACGAGCAUUGGAUUGUAAGCUAAGCAUGUGCCCUGAAAAAUGAGUUUUUUUUUGAAAAAAA
rnacentral:misc_RNA from 1 species